UGGACUGAGUUGGAACGUAUUGAAAUUGCUCCACCAUCCAAAUGCUCAUUCCCAACCAACAAGCACAAAGACAAGCCACAGCAGGUCUCCCUGUGCUCCUCCCAUCCCACUGCAUGAUUGUGACGCAAGCUGUCUUCCUUCUUUUGGUUGAAGUCUGUUCCUCUCACAACAUUUUAAUCACCACCAUCCAGCCUCAUACUGGCCCCCUCAUGUUUUUGCUGUAAAGCCAUAGAUUCCUGCUGUGCUUUCCCAACAAGAAGUACACCGGUAUCCUCAGGACUCCAAUGGCAUGCUGUUGAAAGAGCAGGACAUGAGAGCACGCGGAGUGGAAAUCAGGGCUGGCCAGUGUCUCUUCAGACUGGGACUGGAGAAGCACACACCACCGAAUGGCCCAGUGUGGCGUGUAGCU